rnacentral:rRNA from 1 species
CACACUAUCAUUAACUGAAUCCAUAGGUUAAUGAGGCGAACCGGGGGAACUGAAACAUCUAAGUACCCCGAGGAAAAGAAAUCAACCGAGAUUCCCCCAGUAGCGGCGAGCGAACGGGGAGGAGCCCAGAGCCUGAAUCAGUGUGUGUGUUAGUGGAAGCGUCUGGAAAGGCGCGCGAUACAGGGUGACAGCCCCGUACACAAAAAUGCACAUGCUGUGAGCUCGAUGAGUAGGGCGGGACACGUGGUAUCCUGUCUGAAUAUGGGGGGACCAUCCUCCAAGGCUAAAUACUCCUGACUGACCGAUAGUGAACCAGUACCGUGAGGGAAAGGCGAAAAGAACCCCGGCGAGGGGAGUGAAAAAGAACCUGAAACCGUGUACGUACAAGCAGUGGGAGCCUCUUAAUGGGGUGACUGCGUACCUUUUGUAUAAUGGGUCAGCGACUUAUAUUCUGUAGCAAGGUUAACCGAAUAGGGGAGCCGAAGGGAAACCGAGUCUUAACUGGGCGUUAAGUUGCAGGGUAUAGACCCGAAACCCGGUGAUCUAGCCAUGGGCAGGUUGAAGGUUGGGUAACACUAACUGGAGGACCGAACCGACUAAUGUUGAAAAAUUAGCGGAUGACUUGUGGCUGGGGGUGAAAGGCCAAUCAAACCGGGAGAUAGCUGGUUCUCCCCGAAAGCUAUUUAGGUAGCGCCUCGUGAAUUCAUCUCCGGGGGUAGAGCACUGUUUCGGCAAGGGGGUCAUCCCGACUUACCAACCCGAUGCAAACUGCGAAUACCGGAGAAUGUUAUCACGGGAGACACACGGCGGGUGCUAACGUCCGUCGUGAAGAGGGAAACAACCCAGACCGCCAGCUAAGGUCCCAAAGUCAUGGUUAAGUGGGAAACGAUGUGGGAAGGCCCAGACAGCCAGGAUGUUGGCUUAGAAGCAGCCAUCAUUUAAAGAAAGCGUAAUAGCUCACUGGUCGAGUCGGCCUGCGCGGAAGAUGUAACGGGGCUAAACCAUGCACCGAAGCUGCGGCAGCGACACUAUGUGUUGUUGGGUAGGGGAGCGUUCUGUAAGCCUGUGAAGGUGGCCUGUGAGGGUUGCUGGAGGUAUCAGAAGUGCGAAUGCUGACAUAAGUAACGAUAAAGCGGGUGAAAAGCCCGCUCGCCGGAAGACCAAGGGUUCCUGUCCAACGUUAAUCGGGGCAGGGUGAGUCGACCCCUAAGGCGAGGCCGAAAGGCGUAGUCGAUGGGAAACAGGUUAAUAUUCCUGUACUUGGUGUUACUGCGAAGGGGGGACGGAGAAGGCUAUGUUGGCCGGGCGACGGUUGUCCCGGUUUAAGCGUGUAGGCUGGUUUUCCAGGCAAAUCCGGAAAACCAAGGCUGAGGCGUGAUGACGAGGCACUACGGUGCUGAAGCGACAAAUGCCCUGCUUCCAGGAAAAGCCUCUAAGCAUCAGGUAACAUCAAAUCGUACCCCAAACCGACACAGGUGGUCAGGUAGAGAAUACCAAGGCGCUUGAGAGAACUCGGGUGAAGGAACUAGGCAAAAUGGUGCCGUAACUUCGGGAGAAGGCACGCUGAUAUGUAGGUGAAGCGACUUGCUCGUGGAGCUGAAAUCAGUCGAAGAUACCAGCUGGCUGCAACUGUUUAUUAAAAACACAGCACUGUGCAAACACGAAAGUGGACGUAUACGGUGUGACGCCUGCCCGGUGCCGGAAGGUUAAUUGAUGGGGUUAGCGGUAACGCGAAGCUCUUGAUCGAAGCCCCGGUAAACGGCGGCCGUAACUAUAACGGUCCUAAGGUAGCGAAAUUCCUUGUCGGGUAAGUUCCGACCUGCACGAAUGGCGUAAUGAUGGCCAGGCUGUCUCCACCCGAGACUCAGUGAAAUUGAACUCGCUGUGAAGAUGCAGUGUACCCGCGGCAAGACGGAAAGACCCCGUGAACCUUUACUAUAGCUUGACACUGAACAUUGAGCCUUGAUGUGUAGGAUAGGUGGGAGGCUUUGAAGUGUGGACGCCAGUCUGCAUGGAGCCGACCUUGAAAUACCACCCUUUAAUGUUUGAUGUUCUAACGUUGGCCCCUAAUCGGGGUUGCGGACAGUGUCUGGUGGGUAGUUUGACUGGGGCGGUCUCCUCCUAAAGAGUAACGGAGGAGCACGAAGGUUGGCUAAUCCUGGUCGGACAUCAGGAGGUUAGUGCAAUGGCAUAAGCCAGCUUGACUGCGAGCGUGACGGCGCGAGCAGGUGCGAAAGCAGGUCAUAGUGAUCCGGUGGUUCUGAAUGGAAGGGCCAUCGCUCAACGGAUAAAAGGUACUCCGGGGAUAACAGGCUGAUACCGCCCAAGAGUUCAUAUCGACGGCGGUGUUUGGCACCUCGAUGUCGGCUCAUCACAUCCUGGGGCUGAAGUAGGUCCCAAGGGUAUGGCUGUUCGCCAUUUAAAGUGGUACGCGAGCUGGGUUUAGAACGUCGUGAGACAGUUCGGUCCCUAUCUGCCGUGGGCGCUGGAGAACUGAGGGGGGCUGCUCCUAGUACGAGAGGACCGGAGUGGACGCAUCACUGGUGUUCGGGUUGUCAUGCCAAUGGCACUGCCCGGUAGCUAAAUGCGGAAGAGAUAAGUGCUGAAAGCAUCUAAGCACGAAACUUGCCCCGAGAUGAGUUCUCCCUGAGACUUAGAGUCUCCUGAAGGAACGUUGAAGACGACGACGUUGAUAGGCCGGGUGUGUAAGCGCAGCGAUGCGUUGAGCUAACCGGUACUAAUGAACCGUGAGGCUUAACCUUACAACGCCGAAG